AUGCUCACUUCAGCAGCACCUAUACUAAAAUUGGAACAAUACAGAGAUUAGCAUAGUCCCUGUGCAGGGAUGACAUGCAAAUUCAUGACGUGUUCCAUAUUUUU